AGCGAUACCACAUAACUGGGGAGGAAAACAUAUAAAUCUGAUCCACCCCAUUCCGACUCACGGUUUAGAAACUUUAAAAUUUUAUCACUCACAAAACAAUUAGCGUGAAUAGAAAUUGUUGUUUGUAAAUCGCUGAUGUUGGUUUGGAGUGGAAAAUAAAGACGAAUGAGCCAAAUCAAACUAAAAGCUUGGGUGAAAAAGAAACCGAUUUGCUUUGUUUCUGGUCACAUGACAUGCUUAUAGCCAAUAGAAAGCCUGAAGGUUGAAAGUCGUUUAAAGUAAAGCACUCUCCUCCUUACAAAGAUGUUUAAACAUUAGCAUAGCUGUUAUACCCAAUGGCUGCUAUUCAAGCCAUUGGAUUUACAUUUGAAUACAUUGAAUACAGCUGUAUGGUUGAAAUUAAUGAAGCCUUUCACGGCUUUUGGCUCUACAUAAUGAGCUUACAGCGGUCUCUAGUGGAGAGUGAGAGCCUGUUCAGCACAAACUAAACAUUGAGUUUUCUUGAGUAAGUUUACACAUAAAAUGAUACAAGAUAAUAUUCUUGCUACUUUUAAUUUAUUGUUUAGGGGCACAGUCAGGCCUUCAGAUACACACAUACAAAUACAAUUAUUUAAAAAAAUAAAAAAUUCAUGAAAGGAAGUGGAACUUUUGGGCAUCACAGUUGAUGCAGGUGCUCAUGCGCCAUAUUUUAGGGCGACAGUUUCAAAGGUAGUUAAAAUUAAACUUAAAGGGAAAAAAAGGCUGUUUUGUUCGUUUCAAAAAGAUCUUCUGGACUGCUCUGUUGUGUGUAGUGGAUUUUCCCUUGCUUAUGUUUUAUAUGGUAUGCAAAUGCUUGAAGUUCUCAGUGGUUCCUUUGUGUUUCCUAGCAUCCCGCCACGUUCUUGACUUCCCUCAGUAUGUCUGUCCCAACAAGGAGGUUCGAUCGGCGAGCACAGAGGCAGACAAGAAACUAUCUGAAUUUGACGUGGAGAUUAGCAUGAGGGAAGACGUGUUCAAGCGUAUGAUGUCCUUGCAGAAAAAGUUUCAAGACAAUCCUUCAACUGAAGAAAAGAGAUUCUUAGACAGACUGGUUACACUGGGCCAGAGGAAAGGACUGCAUCUGUCUAAAGAGAUACAGCAGGAAGUAAAAAAAACCUCCAAGCUUAUCAGUGACCUCUCCAUAGAAUUCAACAGGAAUCUGAAUGAGGACAAUACAUUUCUUGUUUUUUCCGAGCAUGAACUGGGUAAAAGCCUGCUUGCAUUAAUCAGUGCCUCAUGCGAAGAAGCGCAAGACAUUCAUUCUCACUUUGUUCACCUGGCGAAGGAGGCCUCACUGAAAUCUAUCUCAAUGGUCUGGAGAGGACAGCCGAGGGGAAGUACAAGGUGACGCUGGAAUAUCCCCACUACCACCCCCUGAUGAAGAGGUGCCACAAUCCUGAGACCCGGAGGAAGAUGGAAACAGCUUUCCACAGCAGGUGUAAACAGGUGAACACGGCGAUUCUUGAACAGCUAAUCCAACUAAGGGCAAAGGUGGCAGACUUACUCGGUUACAGCAGCCAUGCAAACUAUGUGCUGGAGAUUAACAUGGCUAAACACGCAGGCAAUGUGUCCGGCUUUAUAGGUACGAGCCUUCUGAUACCUCGACCUCACACAAGUACAUAUGCCGUAAUUUAUGUGGCAUGUAGGCUGCCAAGAGCGUGCCACAGUACAUGUCUUACAGUUGUGUUACUUGUGUUAGAAAUCGAAAUGCGUGUGUGUGUAACAUGUAUUUAAAACCUUGUGGGGACCAUUUUCUGGACACAUUGAGACGUUGUGGGGACCCACAGCUCCUUGUGGUCCCCACAAGGGGAAUUGCUGUUUUGGGGAUAGGGGUUAGGUUUAGGACUAAGGUGUGAAUUGAGUUUUGGUUAAGAUUAGGGUUCGAUAUGUAAUGGUUAGGUUUAGGGGUCAGAGGUGGUUUAGUGUCACAAUCACGUCCCCCUGAAUUGGUGCAUUGACCAAAACAGUUUGGUGUAGGGAGUCAAAGGCAAGGCACCGGUCAACGCAUGUCAUUCUAACGCAGGGGUCACCAACCUUUUUGAGACUGGGAGCUACUUCACGGGUAC